GGGGGUAUAGCUCAGUUGUAGAGUGUGCGCUUGGCAUGCACAAGGUUCUGAGUUCAAUCCUCAGUGCCUCCA
rnacentral:tRNA from 1 species